rnacentral:rRNA from 1 species
UUUAAUUAAGAGUUUGAUCCUGGCUCAGGAUGAACGCUGGCGGCGUGCCUAACACAUGCAAGUCGAGCGAGAAGCUGAUGACAGAUACUUCGGUUGAAGGAGUCAGUGGAAAGCGGCGGACGGGUGAGUAACGCGUAGGCAACCUGCCCUUUGCACAGGGAUAGCCAUUGGAAACGAUGAUUAAAACCUGAUAACACCAUUUGGUUACAUGAGCAGAUGGUCAAAGAUUUAUCGGCAAAGGAUGGGCCUGCGUCUGAUUAGCUAGUUGGUAAGGUAACGGCUUACCAAGGCGACGAUCAGUAGCCGACCUGAGAGGGUGAACGGCCACAUUGGAACUGAGACACGGUCCAAACUCCUACGGGAGGCAGCAGUGGGGAAUAUUGCACAAUGGGCGAAAGCCUGAUGCAGCAACGCCGCGUGAAGGAAGAAGGCCUUCGGGUCGUAAACUUCUGUCCUUGGGGAAGAAGAACUGACGGUACCCAAGGAGGAAGCCCCGGCUAACUACGUGCCAGCAGCCGCGGUAAUACGUAGGGGGCAAGCGUUAUCCGGAAUUAUUGGGCGUAAAGAGUACGUAGGUGGCAACCUAAGCGCAGGGUUUAAGGCAAUGGCUCAACCAUUGUUCGCCCUGCGAACUGGGAUGCUUGAGUGCAGGAGAGGAAAGCGGAAUUCCUAGUGUAGCGGUGAAAUGCGUAGAUAUUAGGAGGAACACCAGUGGCGAAGGCGGCUUUCUGGACUGUAACUGACACUGAGGUACGAAAGCGUGGGGAGCAAACAGGAUUAGAUACCCUGGUAGUCCACGCCGUAAACGAUGAGCACUAGGUGUCGGGGUCGCAAGACUUCGGUGCCGUAGUUAACGCAUUAAGUGCUCCGCCUGGGGAGUACGCACGCAAGUGUGAAACUCAAAGGAAUUGACGGGGACCCGCACAAGCAGCGGAGCAUGUGGUUUAAUUCGAAGCAACGCGAAGAACCUUACCAGGACUUGACAUCCCUCUGACAGACCCUUAAUCGGGUUUUUCUACGGACAGAGGAGACAGGUGGUGCAUGGUUGUCGUCAGCUCGUGUCGUGAGAUGUUGGGUUAAGUCCCGCAACGAGCGCAACCCUUGCCAUUAGUUGCCAGCAGUAAGAUGGGCACUCUAGUGGGACUGCCGGGGACAACUCGGAGGAAGGUGGGGAUGACGUCAAAUCAUCAUGCCCCUUAUGUUCUGGGCUACACACGUGCUACAAUGGCCGGUACAGAAAGCAGCGAAGUCGUGAGGCGGAGCAAAUCUCGAAAACCGGUCCCAGUUCGGACUGCAGGCUGCAACUCGCCUGCACGAAGCCGGAGUUGCUAGUAAUCGCGGAUCAGAAUGCCGCGGUGAAUGCGUUCCCGGGUCUUGUACACACCGCCCGUCACACCAUGGAAGUUGGGGGUGCCCAAAGCCGGCAAGGAAAUAUGCUGUCUAAGGCAAAACCAAUGACUGGGGUGAAGUCGUAACAAGGUAGCCGUAUCGGAAGGUGCGGCUGGAUCACCUCCUUUCU